rnacentral:rRNA from 1 species
UACGUAGGGUGCGAGCGCUGUCCGGAAUUAUUGGGCGUAAAGAGCUUGUAGGCGGUUUGUCGCGUCUGCUGUGAAAAUCCGGGGCUCAACUCCGGACUUGCAGUGGGUACGGGCAGGCUAGAGUGUGGUAGGGGAGACUGGAAUUCCUGGUGUAGCGGUGGAAUGCGCAGAUAUCAGGAGGAACACCGAUGGCGAAGGCAGGUCUCUGGGCCACUACUGACGCUGAGAAGCGAAAGCAUGGGGAGCGAACAGG